rnacentral:misc_RNA from 1 species
CUAAUCUUCAAAAAGCACCGCAGCAGUCGGUAGUCAGGUCAUUUGAGUAAUGAUCCGAAGCCUCCACCUAGGACAGAUGUUGGCUCUAAAGGCCUGAAAAUUAACCUGGAGACAAACUAUUUUCCAAUCAGUGUUAAAAAUAAGUUUGCAGAACUGGUUCAUUAUGAUGUCUCUCUAAAAAAACACAACAAAGAUGCAAAUCUUCCACGAAAAACGAAAAUGGAGAUAUUUGAAAAAAUGAAGAUGAUAUAUGAAAAGGAUUUCAAGAAUUACCCACUUGCUUAUGACUCAGAAAGGAAUGCAUACAGUGUGGGUGUCAUCCCUGCUCUUCAAACUCCUGAUUGCCAGAGUACUUAUGAGGCGAGUAUUUAUUAAAUAUGUAGAAAUGUGAUUUUGAAAUAUCUAAUGAUAUAAUGUGUGUUGCUAGCAAUCGGUUUGAGUAAAGAUUCUUUGAAGAGAGGUUAAAACAUUGAGCUUUCAUGCCAGAAGAUCACACGGUCUCAAUAUUUUUCCUUCUCCAAUUGUUCAGAAAUUUAUUACAGUUAUAGGCUCUGUACAUGCAUGAUGAAUCCAAAAUUGCAUUUCAGUAAGUUGUGACCUAAACUGCUAUAUAGUAUGUAAAUACACAGUAGGUUAUGAAGGUGUGCAUGCUGGAAAAGUCUUUGGUACAAGGAAUACUUAAGUGUCACAAUAAUGCAGCUCACAGCCUGGGGGACUGAGAUGCGUACCAACACUGUGGCGCUAUCCUUCCCAAC